GACGAACGCUGGCGGCGUGCUUAACACAUGCAAGUCGAACGGAAAGGCCCUGCUUUUGUGGGGUGCUCGAGUGGCGAACGGGUGAGUAACACGUGAGUAACCUGCCCUUGACUUUGGGAUAACUUCAGGAAACUGGGGCUAAUACCGGAUAGGAGCUCCUGCUGCAUGGUGGGGGUUGGAAAGUUUCGGCGGUUGGGGAUGGACUCGCGGCUUAUCAGCUUGUUGGUGGGGUAGUGGCUUACCAAGGCUUUGACGGGUAGCCGGCCUGAGAGGGUGACCGGCCACAUUGGGACGGAGAUACGGCCCAGACUCCUACGGGAGGCAGCAGUGGGGAAUAGUGCACAAUGGGCGGAAGCCUGAUGCAGCAACGCCGCGUGCGGGAUGACGGCCUUCGGGUUGUAAACCGCUUUCGCCUGUGACGAAGCGUGAGUGACGGUAAUGGGUAAAGAAGCACCGGCUAACUACGUG
rnacentral:rRNA from 1 species